CCCUCGUUCGACAAAGUUUUCAGGUGUGUAAUUCGAUCGAUUCUGCGUGAGUCCGUUCCUCGAGGGCUUUCAAAAUUAUAAACAAUUUUUUUAUAAAUAUAUUACGUCCCGGUUCCGCGAUUAAAUUAUCCUCUGGACAACAAGUUGGCUGCAUUUUUUCCGGCGGAAAGAAUAAACAACUGUAAUGUCCUCAAGGAAGUGAGUUUAUCGACGAAGAUAGUGAGAUAUCCCACUCUGCGCCUAGCCGAGUGUGCCUAUGUGGUGCCUCAAACCCGCCGUCGAAAGUUCAAGCAAAAUGGGAUCUACCUAGAAAAUUGCUACAAGCCUAGUACUCAUAAAGCAGGUACAAUGCAUUCAAAGGCUCAGGGAAAGAAGUGAAAAAAUGCGCAUCAUGUUUAAGGACUGUGACGCACCACCCUUCGGACAUUCUAACCUCGUACCUUAUGGCACGGUGCAUCUGAUUACUAAUAAACAGGUUCUGUAUUUUGCAUUUUGUUUAUAAUAAAACUUUGCGGAUGGAGCUAAUUAAA